AGACCCGAAACCCGGUGAUCUAGCCAUGGGCAGGUUGAAGGUUGGGUAACACUAACUGGAGGACCGAACCGACUAAUGUUGAAAAAUUAGCGGAUGACCUGUGGCUGGGGGUGAAAGGCCAAUCAAACCGGGAGAUAGCUGGUUCUCCCCGAAAGCUAUUUAGGUAGCGCCUCGUGAAUUCAUCUCCGGGGGUAGAGCACUGUUUCGGCUAGGGGGCCAUCCCGGCUUACCAACCCGAUGCAAACUGCGAAUACCGGAGAAUGUUAUCACGGGAGACACACGGCGGGUGCUAACGUCCGUCGUGAAGAGGGAAACAACCCAGACCGCCAGCUAAGGUCCCAAAGUCAUGGUUAAGUGGGAAACGAUGUGGGAAGGCCCAGACAGCCAGGAUGUUGGCUUAGAAGCAGCCAUCAUUUAAAGAAAGCGUAAUAGCUCACUGGUCGAGUCGGCCUGCGCGGAAGAUGUAACGGGGCUAAACCAUGCACCGAAGCUGCGGCAGCGACGCUGAUGCGUUGUUGGGUAGGGGAGCGUUCUGUAAGCCUGUGAAGGUGGCCUGUGAGGGUUGCUGGAGGUAUCAGAAGUGCGAAUGCUGACAUAAGUAACGAUAAAGCGGGUGAAAAGCCCGCUCGCCGGAAGACCAAGGGUUCCUGUCCAACGUUAAUCGGGGCAGGGUGAGUCGACCCCUAAGGCGAGGCCGAAAGGCGUAGUCGAUGGGAAACGGGUUAAUAUUCCCGUACUUGGUGUUACUGCGAAGGGGGGACGGAGAAGGCUAUGUUGGCCGGGCGACGGUUGUCCCGGUUUAAGCGUGUAGGUGUGUGUUCCAGGUAAAUCCGGUUCACUUUAACACUGAGGCGUGAUGACGAGGCACUACGGUGCUGAAGCAACAAAUGCCCUGCUUCCAGGAAAAGCCUCUAAGCAUCAGGUAACAUCAAAUCGUACCCCAAACCGACACAGGUGGUCAGGUAGAGAAUACCAAGGCGCUUGAGAGAACUCGGGUGAAGGAACUAGGCAAAAUGGUGCCGUAACUUCGGGAGAAGGCACGCUGACACGUAGGUGAAGUGAUUUACUCAUGGAGCUGAAGUCAGUCGAAGAUACCAGCUGGCUGCAACUGUUUAUUAAAAACACAGCACUGUGCAAACACGAAAGUGGACGUAUACGGUGUGACGCCUGCCCGGUGCCGGAAGGUUAAUUGAUGGGGUCAGCGCAAGCGAAGCUCCUGAUCGAAGCCCCGGUAAACGGCGGCCGUAACUAUAACGGUCCUAAGGUAGCGAAAUUCCUUGUCGGGUAAGUUCCGACCUGCACGAAUGGCGUAAUGAUGGCCAGGCUGUCUCCACCCGAGACUCAGUGAAAUUGAACUCGCUGUGAAGAUGCAGUGUACCCGCGGCAAGACGGAAAGACCCCGUGAACCUUUACUAUAGCUUGACACUGAACAUUGAGCCUUGAUGUGUAGGAUAGGUGGGAGGCUUUGAAGUGUGGACGCCAGUCUGCAUGGAGCCGGCCUUGAAAUACCACCCUUUAAUGUUUGAUGUUCUAACGUGGACCCGUGAUCCGGGUUGCGGACAGUGUCUGGUGGGUAGUUUGACUGGGGCGGUCUCCUCCUAAAGAGUAACGGAGGAGCACGAAGGUUGGCUAAUCCUGGUCGGACAUCAGGAGGUUAGUGCAAUGGCAUAAGCCAGCUUGACUGCGAGCGUGACGGCGCGAGCAGGUGCGAAAGCAGGUCAUAGUGAUCCGGUGGUUCUGAAUGGAAGGGCCAUCGCUCAACGGAUAAAAGGUACUCCGGGGAUAACAGGCUGAUACCGCCCAAGAGUUCAUAUCGACGGCGGUGUUUGGCACCUCGAUGUCGGCUCAUCACAUCCUGGGGCUGAAGUAGGUCCCAAGGGUAUGGCUGUUCGCCAUUUAAAGUGGUACGCGAGCUGGGUUUAGAACGUCGUGAGACAGUUCGGUCCCUAUCUGCCGUGGGCGCUGGAGAACUGAGGGGGGCUGCUCCUAGUACGAGAGGACCGGAGUGGACGCAUCACUGGUGUUCGGGUUGUCAUGCCAAUGGCACUGCCCGGUAGCUAAAUGCGGAAGAGAUAAGUGCUGAAAGCAUCUAAGCACGAAACUUGCCCCGA
rnacentral:rRNA from 3 species